rnacentral:lncRNA from 1 species
GUGCUUUGACCUCUUUCUCCCCUCUCUCUCCAGAUGAAAUCUCGCGUCUUGUGACGGCCGGCCGCCCAACAACCUGCCCACUUGACCCUAUCCCCUCCUCUCUUCUCCAGACCAUUUCCGGAGACCUUCUCCCCUACCUCACCUCGCUCAUCAACGCAUCCUUGACCGCUGGCUACGUCCCUUCCGUCUUCAAGAGAGCGAGAGUUGCACCCCUUCUGAAAAAACCUACACUCGAUCCCUCCGAUGUCAACAACUACAGACCUAUCUGCUGCCUUUGAUACCGUGAACCAUCAGAUCCUCCUCUCCACCCUCUCCGAGCUGGGCAUCUCCGGCACCGCGCACGCUUGGAUUGCGUCCUACCUGACAGGUCACUCCUACCAGGUGGCGAAUCGCAUCUCUGCAUGUCUGGCAGACAUAUCAGUGUGGAUGACGGAUCCCCACCUCAAGCUGAACCUCGGCAAGACGGAGCUGCUCUUCCUAACGGGGAAGGACUGCCCGUUCCAUGAUCUCGCCAUCACGGUUGACAACUCCCUUGUGUCCUCCUCCCAGAGUGCUAAGAGCCUUGGCGUGACCCUGGACAACACCCUGUCGUUCUCCACCAACAUCAAGGCGGUGACCCGAUCCUGUAGGUUCAUGCUCUACAACAUUCGCAGAGUACGACCCUGCCUCACACAGGAAGCGGCGCAGGUCCUAAUCCAGGCACUUGUCAUCUCCC